GACAGAAUGGCGUCUGACAGGGAAAUGCAGAUGAAGCAAAGAUCUUACUGCGACUUGAUCAGGAAAACAUCACAUUUGGAGCACAUGUAUCAGUGACUUGACGUACCUACGAGCAAAGUGUGGGAGAGACUCACCGUACAUGUCACAGCCAUGCACAGUAAGGAGUGCAGGUUCUCUGGGGCAAGAACCACGGCUUUGUUGGCAUCACAUCAAGCAUAAUAGCUCUGCUCCCUGCCUAAGCCUCCCAGCCACGGGAAGCAAGAGAACAGAUUAUUGACUCCCUCAGUGCGUACGGACGGAUCCAGCUAGCUUUUCCUCCUGAAGAGAAGGUUCAGCUUAAUGGAGAGAGCAACUGCCCGUGUUCAAAUUGCUGACAGAAAUCAUGGAGUCCGCCCCCCCAGCCGCUAAACUGAGCCACCUCACAUGGAGCGGAGACGGAGCGGAAGAGCUGUGGUGCAGCUUCACACCGUUUGCUCUGGAUUUGCUCUGGUUUAAUUAACACUUGUGAGAUUGACGGUUCAUAAAAACAAUGAAAUAUGUUUGUUUCUGCUCCUUCUACCACUAC